rnacentral:rRNA from 1 species
GACGAACGCUGGCGGCAUGCCUAACACAUGCAAGUCGAACGAAAACUUCGGGUCUUGUUGCGCACGGGUGCGUAAGGCGGGGGAACCUACCCUUAGGUUCCGAAUAACUCACCGAGAGGGGUGCUAAUAACGGAUAAUGUCAUCCCACCAAAGAUUUAUCGCCUUAGGCUGGGCCCGCGUUGGAUUCGCUAGUUGGUAGGGUAAACGCCUACCAAGGCGACGAUGCAUAGCUGGUCUGAGAGGAGGAUCAGCAAGACUAGGACUGAGACACGGACCAGACUCGUACGGAAGGGAGCAGUGGGGAAUAUUGGACAAGGGGCGAAAGCGUGAUCAAGCCACGCCGCGGAAGUGAUGAAGGGCGUAGGGUUGUAAAGCUCCUUUACCCGGGACGAUAAUGACAGUACCGGGAGAAUAAGCACCGGCUAACUCCGUG